rnacentral:rRNA from 1 species
UACGUAGGGUGCGAGCGUUGUCCGGAAUUAUUGGGCGUAAAGAGCGUGUAGGCGGCCAGGUAGGUCCGCUGUGAAAACUCGAGGCUUAACCUCGAGAUGUCGGUGGAAACCAUCUGGCUAGAGUCCGGAAGAGGAGAGUGGAAUUCCUGGUGUAGCGGUGAAAUGCGCAGAUAUCAGGAAGAACACCCGUGGCGAAGGCGGCUCUCUGGGACGGUACUGACGCUGAGACGCGAAAGCGUGGGGAGCGAACAGG